UGUUGGCCUGAAGGGCCUGAGAUACGCGAU
rnacentral:sRNA from 1 species